rfam:Pteropus alecto contig168206, whole genome shotgun sequence.
UCCAUAAAAAAAAGCAUGGAGUGCUCUAAAAUUGGUUUGAUAAGAAGAUUAGCAUGGCCCCUGCACAAGGAUGACACGUAAAUUCAUGAAGAAAAAAAGAGCAUGAAAAUUUU